rnacentral:rRNA from 1 species
CCUACGGGUGGCAGCAGUGGGGAAUAUUGGACAAUGGGCGAAAGCCUGAUCCAGCCAUGCCGCGUGUGUGAAGAAGACCUUCGGGUUGUAAAGCACUUUCAGUGGGGAAGAAAGCCUUGGGGCUAAUACCCUCGAGGAAGGACAUCACCCACAGAAGAAGCACCGGCUAACUCCGUACCAGCAGCCGCGGUAAUACGGAGGGUGCGAGCGUUAAUCGGAAUUACUGGGCGUAAAGCGCGCGUAGGCGGUCUGAUAAGCCGGUUGUGAAAGCCCCGGGCUCAACCUGGGAACGGCAUCCGGAACUGUCAGGCUAGAGUGCAGGAGAGGAAGGUAGAAUUCCCGGUGUAGCGGUGAAAUGCGUAGAGAUCGGGAGGAAUACCAGUGGCGAAGGCGGCCUUCUGGACUGACACUGACGCUGAGGUGCGAAAGCGUGGGUAGCAAACAGGAUUAGCUACCCGUGUAGUC